AAACACCUGAUUGUGUACAUGGAUCAUCCUCUAAGGAAUGAAGAGAAGAUCGUCCCUCUGCCAGUAAAUCAAAACUGUAAAAAUUAUCGAUUUUCAGCAAUAUUAUAUCAUUCAACUAAUAUUGUAACAGAUACGGCCAUUGAACGAGCUCUUAUUUCUGGUUUCCACGAUUAUCUUCUGAAUUAGUCACAUGAUGAUGCCAAGUACAGUGUCUGCUAUGGUUGUUGUUUAACCUCGCAAAAGACAAACUAAUGCAGCAAAGAUUUGUGUCUUGAAAAUAAAUUGGAUCAAAAGCAAUGAUACUGCUUAUUUUUCUUCUGUUCAUGUACCUGCAGUCGCUCCACUCAGCGCACUUGUAUGCAUUUUAUCUAUUAUCGUCAUUGU